rnacentral:rRNA from 1 species
UACGUAGGGGGGCGAGCGUUGUCCGAAGUUACUGGGCGUAAAGAGCGCGUAGGCGGACCCUUAAGUGAGGGGUGAAAGGUUCGGGCUCAACCCGGAGAGUGCCUUUCAUACUGGGGGUCUUGAGUGCGGGAGAGGCAAGUGGAAUGGUCGGUGUAGCGGUGAAAUGACGUAGAUAUCGAUCGGAACACCCGUGGCGAAGGCGGCUGCUGGC